CAAGACACAGGAAAGAAGACAUGGGUUCCUACUUUGAUCCACAGUCAUAUCUGGGCUGACUGUGCUUCUGCAGGGUGUGGGGUUUUUGAGAAUAGACUUUCUGUCAUCAGUAAUUUUCCAGCUGGUUAUCUAAAGGAGACUUGAUAGUGGUCAUGACAGGAAUUGCUCCACUUUGAACCAUGUUAGGGGGAACCUGGGCUGCAGUGAAGAAGGUAGCGGCAGGGAGAAUGCUGAUGGUGAAGGUCGGGGUGGAGUUCUAGCAGAGGAAGAACUGUUCUGAAAGUUGACAACACAAGCUGACCACUUCCCCAGGCUGCCGCCCCUGCCAGCAAUCUCUGCUGUGGGUGUUGGAGUGGACACCAUCCAUUCACACAGUUUACUGCAGGGCAAACCCUGUGCUGGGCUCCAAAAAUACCCAACCACAUCACUGCCGGCUUCACAUCCACCAGAUGGAGUCUUCAUCAGAAAUGCCUUCAUGACACAAUCUAGGGAACCAUCUGGGCCAAAUGUGAUUUCUC